rnacentral:rRNA from 1 species
UACGUAGGGGGCAAGCGUUGUCCGGAUUUAUUGGGCGUAAAGAGCUCGUAGGCGGUUCAUUGCGUCAAUCGUGAAAUCCCGUGGCUCAACUGCGGGUCUGCAGCCGAUACGGGCAGGCUAGAGUUCGGUAGGGGAGACUGGAAUUCCUGGUGUAGCGGUGAAAUGCGCAGAUAUCAGGAGGAACACCGGUGGCGAAGGCGGGUCUCUGGGCCGAUACUGACGCUGAGGAGCGAAAGCGUGGGGGAGCGAACAGG